GUGUUGAUGGCUGGACAUUGCAUCAUCCUACAAAACUUGGAGGCCAGUGAGGACAAAAAUAAAAAGUUACAAGACUUUUAAGACUGUGGAUUUUUGGGUUAUCUUUGGCGCCCCCUAGAACGUAAACCGUGGGGUGCAGCGUCAUGAUUUGUACAACUUUUAAUGGCCAUGGGGUGUAGAUUGGCCUGAGCAAAUGUGGUGCCGGUGGAACGAAAGCCUUCGGAGGAGUUAGCGAAAUUCCAAUGUGUGCGGAUCGGCAAAAAAUGCGAAAUAACCCUUUAACCGUACAUUUGACAGAUACGCCCGCACUGACUUUUUUUUAGAUCUUAUUGAGAUACAUGUGUGUGUCAAAUUUUGUGUCAAUAUGACAAAGCGUACAGGCGUGACAGUCAAUAGUGUAAAUUUUCACCUUAGGGGGCGCUAUGGAGCCAUUUUGCAUUUUAUUGUUUGGGCGACUUCAGAAUAUCGAAUUUUUCACCAGGCCCGGUCGUCCUGCCAAAUUUCAUGAGUUUUCGCCAGUGGAAAGUGGGCCAUUUUCCCCUUCAAAGGGGAGGAAAAAUAAGAAGAACUAGGGCCCCGUUGGGGCACUGGCGGGCCCGAGCCGUGUCGCGCCGCCCCCAGCGCGACCGCCUACCCCUCCCGAUCGCGUCACACUCAAGGUCCAAAGAUGGUGUGCGCACUUGUCUGUGGUCAUUUACCAUUAUAAUGAAUGGGAGGCGCAGUUUCUACCAAAACGCUCGCUGCAGACAAACUCCAUGUCCUAUUUGAAAAAAGUCUGGAACAUGAGUGAGGGCACAAACACAGCUAAGAUAUAUCCAAAUGGCAAGUUGCUCCUCCUUUCGGUUUUGCCGAGAGAGCGAUGCGUUUAAGCCAUUAAGCGAUGGGCAGGAACAACUUGACCUUUUCUCCGGCCAUGGGGGGGGCGCUCUUUUGGAGAGUAAAAAUUCCUUCACAACUGUGUUGAUGGCUGAACAUUGCAUUAUCCUAGAAAACUUGGAGGCCAGUGAGGACAAAAAUAAAAAGUUAUAAAACUUUUGAAAAUGUGGAUUUUUGGGUUAUCUUUGGCGCCCCCUAGAACCUUAACCGUGGGGUGCAGCGUCAUGAUUUUUACAACUUUGAAUGGCCAUGGGGUUUAGAUUUGCCUGAGCAAAUUUGGUGUCAGUGGGACGAAAGCUUUAGGAGGAGUUAGCGAAAUUCCAAUGUGUGCGAAUCGGCAAAAAAUGCGAAAUAGCCCUUUAACCGUACUUUUUACAGAUACGCACACAUUGACUUUUUCGUAGAUCUUAUUGAGAUACACGUGAUUAUCAAAUUUUGUGUCAAUAUGACAAAGCGUACAGGCGUGACACUCAACAAUGUGUAUUUUCGCCUUAGGGGACAAGAAAAAAUGGACUUUUUUCUCCUGCCAUGGGGGGGCGCUCUUUUGGCGAGUAAAAAUUCCUUCACAAAUGUGUUAAUUGCUGGACAUUGCAUCAUCCUAGAGAACUUGGAGGCCAGUGAGGACAAAAAUAAAAAGUUAUAAGACUUUUAAGACUGUGGAUUUUUGGGUUAUCUUUGGCGCCCCCUAGAACCUAAACCGUGGGGUGCAGCGUCAUGAUUUGUACAACUUUUAAUGGCCAUGGGGUGUAGAUUGGCCUGAGCAAAUGUGGUGCCGGUGGAACGAAAGCCUUCGG